rnacentral:lncRNA from 1 species
UGAAAAUAUAACACUAAUGAUACAAAAGACAUUCAACACUCAAGGAAACUCAAUCUACGGAUGUUGCAUGCUGUCGGAUGGUAGAUUGGCAUUUACUUACUACUGGGAUUGUAAGGUAAUUAUAUUUAACAUGAACGGAUUUAACGACUUUGAAGUGAAGAUGCCUUGUGAAGCGUUUGAUAUAGUGUACAUCAGUGAGGACAAUACAUUGGCUGUUACAUCUGGUAGUUCCGAUAAGAAUUGUAUUACUAUUAUAGACUUGGAAAAGAAACAAAUCAAGAAAACCAUUUCACUAGAUUCCAACAGUUAUGGCAUUGCAUUGAAAGAUAACCGAUUGAUUUAUUCCGGUUACGACAGAGGAAUACGAAUGAUCAAUCUGUACAACGAGUCUUUUAGU